UUAAUUUGACUAAACAAGGGAAACCUCACCCGGCUCAGUCAUGGACAGGAUUGACAGACUGAUAGCUCUUUCUUGAUUCUGUGGGUGGUGGUGCAUGACUGUUCUUAGUUGGUGGGGUGAUUUGUCUGGUUAAUUCUGAUAAUGAACAAGACUCUGGCAUGCUAACUACCAAGUUAUGUGACCUCUGACUUCAAUCAACCUUAUAUUGUUCUUUUUUGCAUCGUCUUGCAGCUGUUUAAUUGAUUUUUCAUGGUUCUUUAACUAUUUUUAAGAAAUCUUUCUUUUCAUGGUUAUUAACUGCAAUCCUGUCUUCUAGAUCUGAUAUUCUGUCCUCAUCUUUGUUCAAAGAGUUGUGUAU
rnacentral:ncRNA from 1 species